rnacentral:rRNA from 1 species
UACGUAGGAGACGAGCGUUGUCCGGAAUUACUGGGCGUAAAGCGCGUGGUAGGCGGAUGGGCAAGUCUGCUGUGAAAGCUCCUGGCUUAACCGGGAGUGGUCGGUGGAAACUGCCAAUCUGGAGGACGGUAGAGGUAGGUAGAAUUCCCGGUGUAGUGGUGAAAUGCGUAGAGAUCGGGAGGAACACCAGAGGCGAAGGCGGCGACCUGGACAAGUACUGACACUCAACUACGAAAGCGUGGGGAGCAAACAGG